rnacentral:SRP_RNA from 1 species
CAAGGGUUACCUCGCAACGAUAGACUACAAAUCCCGCCAGGCCCGGAAGGGAGCAACGGUAGUAGACGACUCGUGUGCAGAGUGCUGGCUUUUGUGA